CCUCGAUGAAUGUGAGAGUUGAGAAGCCUGCUGUGUCCAACUCUGCCUCAACUAUUUAGGAGGCUGUGAAUUCAGUUGUCAGGAAGGCUUUCGAAUCACUUCUGAUGGUUGUGGAUGUGAUGGUGUGGAUGAGUGUCUGGAUGUCAGUAGAGUCUGUGACCAGCUGUGUAUGAACUCUGUGGGAACAUACGACUAUACCUGUGUGGAAGGCUCCAGAAUUGGAAGUGAUGGGAAAACUUGCAUCUCUUUAGAUGCUUACAAGCCGGAGGAAGAAGAAGAAUUGGAAGUUGUAAGGUUUCCAGGCCUUCUAUUCAAGAGCCCACCUCAACUGCUUCCUGAUGUUGCUACCGCUCUGCCUACCGCCUACACAGAUGAAGAUGAGGAGGACAGGAAACGCAUAUUCGAGAACUGACUGCCCUGCAUAAAAUUGUCUGGAGCCCCUGGUGUAUCCAGUCUACAGCUCUUGCAAUGCCACUGCCCUGGCAGCCUGCCCUCUCCAGCCAGUACUGUGAUUGCCAAGAAUCUGCGAAUAUGUUAUCUUACAUCGCAAAUGGGACUUCGAAGACAUGAUUAAGGAUUUUGAGAUGGAUUAUGUGGGUGUGUUCAAUGUAAUCACAAAGGUUCUCUUAAGAAGGAGGCAGGAAAUCAGAGGAAAAAGAAGAAGAAGAAGCUAAGUUGCUGUCUAGGAAGAUGGAGAAAGAGGCCACAAGGAAUGGAGGUGGCUCCUAGAAGCCGGAAAAGGAAAUAGAUCCCCCCCACAAGUCUCCCGAAGGAACACAGCCCUGUCAUCACCUUGAUUUUAGACUUCUGACCUCCAGAACUGUG